CGGGUGGUAAUGCCGGAUGCUCCAGUUGAUCGCAUGGUCUUCUGGGAAAGCUUUCGCGGUAUGGGAUGGGGUCGCGUCCUAUCAGCUUGACGGCGGGGUAACGGCCCACCGUGGCUUCGACGGGUAGCCGGCCUGAGAGGGCGACCGGCCACAUUGGGACUGAGAUACGGCCCAGACUCCUACGGGAGGCAGCAGUGGGGAAUAUUGCACAAUGGGCGCAAGCCUGAUGCAGCGACGCCGCGUGAGGGAUGGAGGCCUUCGGGUUGUAAACCUCUUUUAUCGGGGAGCAAGCGAGAGUGAGUUUACCCGUUGAAUAAGCACCGGCUAACUACGUGCCAGCAGCCGCGGUAAUACGUAGGGUGCAAGCGUUAUCCGGAAUUAUUGGGCGUAAAGGGCUCGUAGGCGGUUCGUCGCGUCCGGUGUGAAAGUCCAUCGCUUAACGGUGGAUCCGCGCCGGGUACGGGCGGGCUUGAGUGCGGUAGGGGAGACUGGAAUUCCCGGUGUAACGGUGGAAUGUGUAGAUAUCGGAAAAAGAAACACC
rnacentral:rRNA from 1 species